rnacentral:lncRNA from 1 species
UGAUUGUUCUUCAUUUUGUUAACGUUAUUUUAAAACUAAUUAGUGAAUUCUCACAUAGAGGGCAAAGUCACAUUAUUUUUUAUUAAAAAACCAAAGUCACAUUUUAUGGCUGGGUUCAUAUUGAUAAAAGACAUUUGAAAUGGUCUUUGUCUUGUAGUUCUUGGCCUUGUAAAUUUGAUUAGUAGACCUUUCAAAUCUUAUCUUGCCUUGCUUUAUAAAUAUACACACCAAAAAAGAAAGAAAAAUCAAUUUUUCGUCUCAAGUCUUGAAUAAAAUCAUACUAAAAUCAUAAAACUAUUCCGUUUCAUGAUACAAAAGUUUUUCACUUCUGUUUUUCAAAAAACCUUUCUUCUUGAGUUAUUUAGGUCUUUCUUUUCCCAAAUAAAGUAAUUUCCUAAAUAAAGUAAAAAUGAGAGAUCGAGAUCUCUUUUCCUUCUUUUUUUUAAUAGGAUGAUUUUUGUACAAUUUCUAGUAGUUUUAACUCUGAAAAACUACUCUCAAUCUCUCAUUUGGUUGGAUCGGAUUGGGUCAAUCAGACUUAUGCACCACCCAACUCCAACACUAAUAAUAAUAAUAAAAUAAAAAAUAAAAAAUAAAAGUUGAAGUAAAACUUAAAGUUGGGAUGUAUAUGUAUGAUAAUAUAGCUAUCAAUUUUAUUGACUUUCGUGCUAAAUAUAAGGUCGUGACGCAUUUUGAGCCAUGCAAACCUAACUUCGUGUUUAAUCCUUUUUCUCCUAAUAAAGAAUAAAUAAAUGAAACCAAGUAAACAUACGGACCCUUAAUUACGAGAGUCCCACAUGGAGGUGUCAAGCAAAAUAUUUUGGGACCAUAAAUAUAUAUUGUCACAUAGAGAGAGUUGAUUCUUUUAAAAAGCUCAGAGAUUGCAAUUCAAGCAUCCUACAAAAUACUAUGGCACGUUUUGUGUAUGUCAAUGAUGCAUUUAAUUGCUUUGAGUAAGCAUCCCACAAUUAGGUACAACCAAAUUGGCAAAUACAGCCAAUGUUUCAAACCAGUAAAUUUAAUUCAGUGAAAGAGACUUGAGUCCUCAAUUACCACUCUUUUUUUAUGUAAUAAAAUUUAAAUUUAUAUUGAAUCAAACUAUAUUUUAAUUAAUUUAUCUUGAAAUUGAAUUUUAUUUAGAAGAAAAAAUUAGAAUUCUAAAUAAACUUUAUUAAUUUCAUUUAUAAGAACUAUUCUAUUCCAUUAAGGGUUAAUGCACUAUUUUUAUUUACUAUGAACUAUUUAUGUUAUAUAAGAUUUAUUAUUUAUUUUGUAAUAUUUUAUUUUUUAAAUUUAUUUUUACUACUUUUUUAUUAAGAAUAUGUUAAUUUAACACUACACUUUGUUGUUAGAAUGUUUCAAGAAAAUAAAUUAGAGAAAAUUAAAAGAAAAGAAAAUGGUGAGAAAAGCUUAUGUGAUUGGUUUUGAGGGAAUAAAAAUUUAAUUGUUGAGAAAUACAUAUUUCUAAACUUUUUCUACUUUUGUCUUUAAGGAAAUUAUUAAGAAAAAGCUUUAAAAUUUUUCCUUUGUACAUUCUCUUUUGUUUUUUAUAGUACUUUUCUUUUGUUUUUUUUUCUUUUUUUUUUCUAGAACCAAACAUACUCUAAAUGAUUUUCAUUAAAAGAAAAAAAAAUGCUAUGAUAAAGUAAAUCAAAUAAUCCACUAAGUAUGUUAUUUAAGGAGAACAACAUAAUAUUAAAAAUGUUGGAUUUAUAAUUUUUGAAGUUAAAAUUGAGUAGUGAAUUUUUUUUCAAAUUGAAUUGAAUCUUUAAAAAAAUAAAUAAAUAAAUAAAGUCGUUAUUAUAAAAAAAUAGAAUUUUUAAAAAAAAUUAUUUUUAAUCAACUUUAUUCUUAUAAUUAAAUUUUUGAAGUUAAAAUAGAGUAGUGAAUGAGAGCUCAGUAUCGAUUCCUUCUUUAACAAAAAAUAACUGUCAAGAAAAAAUUUAAAUAUUUAUAUCAAUUUUCGAAAUAAAAAGAUGAUUAAAAAAUAGUCAUUAUAUUUCUAUAGAAAAUAAGAUGAUAUUUUUAUUUUUUUUCAUAAUUUUAACUAUAACAUUAAAAAUUAUAUCAUUAAAUAAAGGUUUAAUCAUUGUACUCAUACAAUGUAUUUUAUCACUAUGAGUAAUAUAUAUAUGCUUAAAUUUUAUAAUGAGAUACUAACUUCGGGUCCAUGGCCUACUAUCCUUCAUAUGCCCCCUUCCUAUGAAUUGUUAUCUAUAAUCUAACAGGAUGAAUGUUUUCAAUCUUUCAAAGUUAUCUCUAUAAUCCUUAAGUUUUAGAUUUUAUUAUUAUGUGAUGAACGAAUAUACUUCAACUAUUUAACACAUGUCAAAUUCCGAUUAAGGAAUUAAUACGAUGAUAGAUUUCCUUUUCACAAAAUCCUUAGGAUCACCAAAGUAGAUAUGCUAUCUCAAAUCCAUGAGAUAUUAUGGUGUUUAUCUUUAGUAUACCUAUUACCACAUGCCUCAAUGAACAGUAACCUAAUCCAUGGGGAAUAUGUGCCCACCUUAAGGUCUUAUUUAUAAGUCAAAGUCACUAAAGACUUUACCAUUAGCUUAAUAUCCUCUCAAGGUUGGGAGUCAAUACAGUAUUGUAGCUUUGUGAGAUCAUGACUAUUUGAUAGCUAAUGUCAUGAUUUACUAUAAAUUUUAUCCAAUGUGUAACCAUACAUAAAUUAGUAUACUCACCAUGGGAAAACUAUCCAAAUGACCAAGAUAAGUCAUCCCUCCAAUUAUAAGGUAAUGUACUCUAACCUCAAAUGGAUUGCCUAAGUCUACAAACCAACCAUGAAUAACUCAUUUACUUGUAAAGAACCCAUGACUUAUCUCUUCUAUGUACCUUCUAAUGUACCCAAAUCAUGUAUAAUUGAAGAGAUGUCAAACCUAAAUCCUCGGAAAGUAUAAUGCAUGAAUAGGAUAGAUAAAUUAGAAAAUUGGAUUCAUAUUAUAAACAAUAAAUUUAUUUAUUCUUACAUCAUGUCAUGUUUUUAAGUGCUUUAUCCUAACAAUCUCUCAUUAGUCCUCAAAGAAUACUAGGAAUACAUGUGACACUUGUGUUAUCCCUAUUACAAUCAAAGACUAUGCUCGACAAAGUUUUGGUGAAAGGUUCUAUCAAGUUCUCCGCAAAAGGUAUCUUUUCUACCGCUAUAUUGCCUUUAUAUAUUAUUUUACGAAUCAAAUGGUACUUUCUCUCAAUGUGUUUAAUCUUUUGGUGGUUUCUUGGUUUUUUAGACUAUGUCACUAUCCUACUGUUGUCACAAAAUUGUGUCACAACCGGUACAACAAAAGGAAUUACCUAAAGUCUCAUGAGGAGCUUUCUAAGCUAAAUGACUUCCUUUAGAGGCUGAAACAUACUUGACUUGCAUAAAAGAGUUAGAAAUGCAAGAUUGCUUCACGUUUUUCCAACUAAUAGUCACACUAAUUAGAGUAAAUACAAAACUAGAGGUAGACUGAUGAGAAUCCUUAUCACAUUGAAAGUCUAAAUCUAUAUACCCAAUGGGUGCCAACUCGUUGUUAUGGAACACAAACAUAUAAUCUCUCAAUCUUUUAAGAUACUUAAGUAUAUUGCUUAAUUGUUGUUAAAUGCUCUAGUUGUGGAUUAGACUCAUAUCUACUCACCAUCCUUAUAGUAAAGCAAAUAUUUGGUAUAGCACUAAGCAUCGCUGACAUGAAGGCUACCCACUAUUGAUGCAUAGGGUGUUGUCUACAUGCCCUAUUUUUCCUUAAGUGCCUUAGGACACCAAUCAAGAGAAUGAGGAACUUCAUGCCUAAAGGAUAGAAAAUCCUUCUUGCCAAUGUGGGUAGCUUGAGAUAAUACAAUCUUCCUAUUCUUGUUGUCCCUUAGGACCUUAAUCCUAUAAAUAUAUUAUACUAUACUUUUUCCUAAUCUUUCAAAUAUAACUGAGUAGACAAUUAGAUCUUAUCUAAUGGUAAUAACCCUACAUCAUUUCCAAUGAGUAAAAUGUCAUCAACAUACAAUCAUGAAGAUCACCAUACUUUCUUGCUCCUUCUUGUACACAUAAGGCUCAUUCUUAUUUUGAUCAAAAUUAAAAGUUUUGAUCACUUUAUCAAAAUGUUUGUUCUAUGAGUAGGAUGUUAGCUUUAAUCCAUAAAUAGAUUUAUGCAAUUUGCAUACUAGGUUCUCUUGGCCCUUUGUUAUGAAAUUGUUUAGUUACAUCAUAUAGAUGCUCUCAUCAAAAUAACCACUCAAGAAUGUUGUCUUGACAUCCACUUGUCAUAUCUCAUAAUCGAGAUGCGUCAUAAUAGAAAAGAGUAUUCUAAAGGAUUUAAGCAUGACUAUGGUCUUCUCAUAUCGAAACUAGGUUUUUGACUAUAACCCUUUACUACAAGUCUAGUCUUAUAUGUUUCAAGUUUUCCAUUCACUCCUCUUUUCCUCUUGUACACCCACUUAUACUCUAUGGGUUUUGUCCCUUCGGGUGCUUCUAUAAGCUCCAAGACUUGGUUGGAAUACAUAAAUUUUAACUUUACUUCCAUAACUCCUUGCCAUAGAUGUGCAUCCACAUUGCUCAUGGCUUCAUUGUAUCUAUGAGAUCAAUCUUAUCUUCCUUUAGAAUUGUCUUAAAGAAAUUUUCAAAUACAUGAAUCGAUCUAGUUGUGUAACAACCCUCCCAUUACGAAGAGGCACCCAUGUAUUAGAAAUGUCAAGAAUGAUAGGUAUUAGAUCCAUAGUAUCUUGUGUUGUUGUGGAAUUGUCAUCUAGUGCUCUCUAAUCAACAUCACUCCUAAACUUAUUACUUAUUAUGUAGUCUUCUUCUAGAAAUCUAACAUUUGUACUAACAAAUAUCUUCUAGUCAAUCUAACUAUAAAAGUAAUAUCCCUUUGUUCCUUUUAGAUGUCUUACAAACUAACAAACUUUUGACCUUGAUUCUAACUUAGUUACCUUUAGUUUUAGCAUAUGUGUUGGACGCCCCCAUAUGCGAACAUGGUAUAUAUUAGGUUUAUAACCUAUCCACAUCUUAUAGGAGUCAAAGGUACCAAUUUAGAUAAAACCAAAAUAAAAAGGUAUUCUGCACUUUCUAAGGCCACAUAUCCCCAAAAAAAAGUAUAGAGUGUUUAGAAACUCAUUAUGGAUCUCGUCAUGUCCAUUAGAAUUUGAUUUCUUCUUUCUGCCACUUCAUUUUGUUGUGAGGUUCUAGGAGCACUCAAUUAAGAUAUAAUCCCAUGCUCCUUUAGGAAAAAAAAAUCAAACUUACUUGACAUGUACUCAUGACUUCAAUUAGAUUGAAGUGUCUUGCAAUGUUUUCUUAAUUACCGUUUUUAUUCUGCCAUAAAUUCCUUGAAUUUAUCCAAGACAUCAAAUUUCCUAUUCAUAAGGUAACAUAACCAUACGUAAACUGAUCAUCAAUAAGGAUGAUAAAAUACUCAUGUCUUCCAUAUGCAUGACCAUUAAAAGGUUCACACACAUUCUUUAGCUUUAAGUCCUUUAGUAACAAAGAGCUUCUUGGUCAUUUUACCUUAUAUACAGGAUUUGCAUAUUAGAAGGUUUUCUAGGAUCAAAGAAUGCAAUAUUCCAUACUUGACCAAUCUUUACAUCUUAUAUAGAUUAAUAUGGCAUAGCCAAGGUUGCCAUAGGAAGGUUUAAUUAGUGCUAGGUACUUUCUCUUUAACAAGAUUUGAUUAUUGUCAACACAUGUUAAGAUAUGAGAUAGAGUGAUACUAAUCGCCAACCAAUAGAUCUGAGCAAAUAGAUGAAUUAUUCUUUCUAAUAAAAACCUCUUUAUUAAAACAAAUUGAAUAAUUACAUUUAUUUAUACUAGAAAUUGAAGCAAGAUUCUUUCUAGACUCAUGUAAAUAAAGAUAACCCUUGAGUUCUAGAUUUAUUAUCUAACAUUAGGGUAACAUCUCCUAUGCCCAAUAUAGUUAUCCUUGCAUAGCAAUUAACUACUAACCCAUCUAGAAAACCUAACCAAAUAGGAAACAGUAGUGGUAUGAUUCCACCAAGCGAAAAGGCCACCAAAACGGGCCUAUGCUAGUGUUGGUUAUAUUGAGGUUUUUAUUCCUUAGUCGAAGACGAAUACCGCUUGUAGCCAACCCUUUUAAGCCUCAUAGAAACCUGAAGGGAAGAACAUCCAAUUGAUUUCAACACAAGCAUAAAAGCCACGCUGAAUCAAGUGGACCGAAUCAUUUUCAACAACAAAGGAGAUAACUUUCUAUCGUGAAUGCGAAGUUUCUUUUUUCUAGUGACCCUUCUUAUGACAUAAGGAAGCAUUCCCUUUCCUUUGCUCUUUUCUUUCCUAGCCUUGGACUUCUAUUUAGUGUUUCCAUUUUUGUUAUUGUUCUUAUUCUUGUUAAAAAAGCUUGAAUAACCCUUGACUACCAUAUGAUCACCUUUUUUAUCUUUGAGAAUCCUCUUAGCCAUCUAGAGUUCCCUCAUUAACUCUAACAAGUUUAUAAAUAUCUUAUUAACAAAAUACUAGAGCUUGAACUACUUGAAGGAAUCCAACAAGGCCUCUAAGAUCAUGUUGACCUCCAUCUCACCAUCAAUUUCAGCUCCAAGGAUCUCUAUUUCAUUUAAGAGUUUAAUCAUAUGAAUCAUAUGAUCUCUCAUAGGAGUUUGUUCUAUUAUCUUGGUGUUUAUAAUAGUCUUAAAGACAACUUGUCUAGCUAACCUACUCCUAUCACCAAACAUCUCUUGAAAACUGAAGAGAAUCUCACAAGUAGUGGCAAGAGACAUGUGUUGUUGUUGCAACACAUUGUCCAAAGAUCCAAAUAUAAUACACUUGGCCUUUUCAUCUAUCUUUUGACAUUUUUUAUGAACAUCUCUCUUUUUUUGUGAGAAAUGUUAAUUGGGAAUAAGUGGAACAAACUCUUAAGUUACUCGUUUAGGUUCGUUUGGUGUAAGUACUAUAUUUAGAUUUCUUUUUUAGUCAACGUAAUUAGAUUCAAUUAAUUUAUUUAUAGUAAGAAUGAGAGUGGUUAGGUUGUAAGACAAUAUUCUUGUAACAAUUAAGCUAUGCAUUAAUAAGUUGAGCAUUCAAGGUAAGUUGGUAAGUUUAGCAAUUAUGUAGUGUUCUUUAAUUACUGCAUAUAUCUAUGCAAGAUAUCUAAUAUGAUAAGAAUCAAACAUAUUUUAGUCAGAUCGUGAUUUUAUCAUAGGUAAAGACCCUCUCUAAUUAAUCUCCUUGCCUUAAACUUGAAAAGUUUCCUAAGAGAAUAUCAACAUAGCUUUUAAGUUUAGCCUUAAUCGGACUAAACUAGUUGAACCAUUUUAGGUGAUUUUGUCAUUUCAUAUAUAAGUUUAAUGUGUAACCAAGAUCUUUGACAUCAAUAUCAUCAAGUAAGAAGUUCAAUCUUUAAGAUUGAGCACUUCCACUAUUAACAUGUAUAGUCUUAUCAUAAAAGGAAAGUUUAUAUCCAUUGAUUUCAUGUAAAUAAGUUAUAAUUAAAUUGAUAAUAUCAUGUGAAUAGAUGUUUGAUGUCCAAAAUAAUAAGGGAGGUGUAUGUAUAGUCAUGCUAAACCUUAGGAAAGGUGCAUAUAAUUAUUAAAAUGGUUAAAUACAUUUUACCCCCUCAACCUUUGGUGAGUUUUACAUUUUGCCUCAUUAGAUUCAAAACACAACAUUUUACCUUUCAAAUUUAGUAAAGAGAAAUAUUUUGCCCCCAUGCUUAUUAAAAAGUCAAUAAACAAUAUGUUAAGUGAAAAAACAAAACAAAAAUGUGAAUAAAAAAUAUCCAAGUCUAAAGCUAUUCUCAACUGCAUGCCAAAAUUAUUAAUAGAUAUGCAAACAUCUUUCUAAAAUAAAAAAUAAAAACUGGUAGGUAUCAUAUUUCAAAAUUUUCACAUCAAGGUUACCAAUUUAAAAUUGAUUGUACUUAAGUUUAAUCCUAUGGGUGAAUCAAAGUGUAAAAAAAAAAAUUUUUAUAAUUUUAUAAAAGUUUUAUAAUUGAAGGACUUAGUGAUGUUUUUUAAUAAUUAAAUGGAAAUUUUUUCAUAAUUAUUAACUCCUUCCCUUUCUAUUGAUUAGACUUAUUCCAACCAAAGCAAUCAUAUAAAGAAUUCCAAGUCUAUUAUAUUGGGCUUGAUAGUAUUUUUCUCUGUCGAACACAAGUUAAAAUUUGUCAAUGAAAUGAUUCAAUGUUUUGUCACGAGAAAAAUGGCCGAGAAUGGGAUUAUUUCGAAAAGUCAUCAUUGGAAGAGUUGAUCCAAGUAGGCUUGGACCUUUUGGUAAGGCGUGGAGGAUAUUUUGUGGCCCUCUUCCUGAGAGAUACUAAUAUUUGUAUUGUUUUAGGGUCCUUCACAACACUAUCACUUGACAGUGCCCUCAAAAUAAAACAAAACAGAACUUGGUGUGGAGCCGUACCCCGAUGUGCGCAUGCUUGUCUCUAACAGGUUUACAACUUAGAAGUUGCCACCGAUUUCGGUGGCCCAGUUGUAUCUCUUUAGUCGUCGCUGCGACAAAUUCCAGAAUUGAUGGCAUGUGAUUCAAGAAUAACUUGAUUUUAACUCAGAAGAAUAUCAUGAGUUGAUGAACUUAAUGGUGAUUUGAAAUCUCAACACGACGUCAUGAUUUCAUCUUAAAAAAAUGAAAGAAAUAAAAUAGAUAGUAUAUAUUUUAUAAUAGAUAAUUCUAUGAUUAUGUUUGGUUUCAAAAGGUUUAAAGAAAAAUAUAAAAGAAAAAUAUAAAAGAAAAAAAAAAAAAGACAGUACGUAUAUAAAAAUAAGAAUAAAAAUUGAAAGAAAAUAAAAAAUAUUUAAAUUUAAUAAAUUAUAUAUAUAUAUAUAUAUAUAUUACUACAAAAGUUUUUUACUCAAUUAACUCUUUUAUACAAGGGCUAAAUAAUUUAAAAAUAUUUAAAUUUCUUAAUAAUUUUAAUUAUAUUUAACUUUUUUUUUUUGUAUUUUUAUAAUAAAACCAAGAAUAAAAAAAUAUUUCUUUAAUAAUUUUUUUUUCUACUACUUUCUGCAAUCAAACAUAAUAUAUAUAUUAUAUUUUUCUCAUUGAUUAAGAAAAUAUACUUUAGGUUAUGUUUGGUUCACGAAAAAUGUGAUAGAAAGAAAAUAUAGAGAGAAAGUAGGAAGAAAGAAAAAAAAUAAAGGAAAAUAACAAAAUAGGUUUAAACUAAACAAAUUUAUUUUAUAUGCUUCUUAAAACUCAUUUAACUUAUUUCUCUCCAUUAUAUAAAGAUUAAAUAAUUGAAAUAUUUAUAAAUUUCUUACCAAUUUUAGUUAUAUUUGAUUUUUAUUUGUAUUUUUCUUGGUAAAACUAAAUAUGAGAAAACUAUUUUCUUUCAUUUUUUUUUCUUUCUUUAAUACUUUCUAAAAAACAAACUUAGCCUUAAUAUAAAAGUAGGAAUAAGAAAUUCAAACUAAUUUAUUUUAAGUUAAGCAUUUUUAUCAAUAAAAAAAAUUUCAUCAUUUUUUUUAAAAUAUAUGAGUUAUCAAAAAUUGAUUUUGUGUAAAAAUGAGUAUGGUGAUAUUUUAUUUUAUUUUUUUAGUUCUAACACUAUCAUUAAAUAAUUUCUCACUUUUAUAAUUGUUUAGAUAACGUUAAAUGUGAUGAAUGUUUAUUCAUUGAUUUAUUGAGUCAAUGUAGUUAUAAUUAUUUUUCAAAAUUUUCAUUACCGUGUUAUUCAAGUCUUUUGACUAAUACUUGCUUGAUUAAUCAAUAAAGUUAUGUUUAGUUCCUAGAAAAUUAGAAAAUAAGAAGGAAAGGAAAGAAAAAUAUUAUAUAUAUUAAAAAAAAUGAUCUUCUUAUAUUUAAUUUUACUAAAAACAUAAAAAUGAAUCUUAAAUAUAAUUAAAUUAAAGGGCAGUGGUGUAAUUAUCUUAAUGACUACACUGAUUCAAGCAUGAACCACUGGGGAUCUCACCAGACAACACCCAACCAAUUAGUGAGAACAGAAAAAGUUGAAUUUUCCAAGAGAUUUUUUAAAAUAAUAAUCCAAGAUAUGAGAUGAAAAAAACCUUAAUUAUCUCUGAAAAAAUAAAUAUUUUCAGUGAAGAAGGAAGUGAGAACACGUGACAAAGUCAAUAUUUCAUUAUCUUUGUUAUUAUAAAAUAAUUUUUAAAUUGAAAUGAUUUAAAUAUUUCUUCUUUGAAAUGAUUGCAUAUAAGCCUGUAGCCACCAUAAUAGAAUAUUGGAGCUUGACGCAACUGCCACUAGAGAGAUCGGGUUAAAAACACUACAUCUAAAUGUAUGGAUCUCCUUGCUUUCCAACAAGUCUUUUCUUUUGUCCGCAAAUCUUAUUAAAAAAUUCUCAUUUUAAAGAUGUGGGAGUUGACUCAAAGUUUGUUAACCCCGUUCAGUCAUCUGCUCGACUUCCAGCCAUAUUCCUUUUCUUGACGGUACUUCAUCAUUCAUUAAUUUUUUAUUUUUUAUUUUUUUAUUCAUCUUUGAUAUUAUAUUUUUUUGGUUACACAAUAAUGGAAAUAAGCAAUAAAAAAAAAAUAAUAAUGAUAAGAACAUAUAUGAAAAAUCUCGUUGGAGAAAAACUCAUAAAUAGAGAAAAAAAAUUCAUUACAUCAAAAUAUUAGUACAAAAUGAAAUAAAUACGAACAAUUAUAGCAAAAGUCUCAUACAAACGGUCUAAUCCCUUCAUUAUUAUUACAGACCUCUCAUAAAAUCUUAUAAUUGUAGUUUCAUUACAUAUGUUGUGGAUCAGACCAAAUAGAUUUUGGAUCAUUAAAAUUUUAUAUUUUUGAAAGAAUUUUAUUAAUAAUUAAGAAUCCAUUGAGAAGGUGUGUUUGAUUAAAUUUAAUAUUUAUUAAUUAAUUGAUUGUGAGUUUGUAAAAUUGACUUUUAGAGCGGAAGCUAAGACCCUGUAGUAAAAUUUGAUUGAAAAAGAAAAAAAAAAAGGAGUGAGGAAAAUUUUGUGAAUAAUUUAUAAAUUUUUUGUAAUGACUUUUAGCAUGAAAGGACAGUUAAUAACAGUAUAUGAUAAGGCCAAUAGAUGGGUCUGUCAAUCCAAUGCUAUGAUGAAAUUAACAGAGUGACCUCAGCUUGAUUGACAGCUUUGUUGGACUCACCAUGCCGAGUCAAGAGUCAUCUGUAUUAGUUCUACCCCAAUACUCGGUAUUUUCCCAUAUUCUACUAAUAUAAUAUACUAUUCUUCAUUUAAAUAUUGCCAUAAAAACACCCCCAAAAUCAAUUAAACGUGGGCCUAUUUGUUUAUGCACUCCAAUUGAAGGUGCUUGUGCAACACUUCAUUUGAUGCCAAUGGUAAUGUAUAUUAAUCUCAUUUCAUGAAAAACAUUAGAAAAAAAAAAAAAGCUUAUGCAUAUGAAAAUUAAACUACUUGAUUUUUGUUCGGAUUCUUUUGUGGUCAACAAAAAAUAAAGUUUUCAGACUUAAAUAUCCAAAAAUUUUAGUUGAUUAUUUUAUUGAUAAAUUUUUUCAUCUUAAAUUAUGAAUAGAAUUACGAAAAUCAUUCUUUUUUACAUGAUAAAAGUUUGAACCUUUAUUUUUUUAGAAAAAAUAGAAAAAAAUUUCAAUAGAAAGGAUUUGAUUUUUCCAAAAAUAAGAAUAAAUUCUUUUUUUUGUUUUGAGAGAGGGAGAGGAGAAAAUGUAUUAUUUCUCUCAUUGAGUCUGGUCGGAGUGUUGACUUGGGCACCAAAACCCAGCUCCAACGAGAUGAAUUUCUAUAUGUAGAUACUUCUAUAGUAAAUGUGAAUGGAAAAUGUUUCUAUGAAAGUAUGGUACUUUUAGUUUUACCAUUUAGUUAUCCCUCAAAACCCUUUUUACUUUAUAGAAAGUAGCUCGUAGAUGCAUGGAGUUUGUGGGAGAAAUAAAGAAAAAGAGAUCCACCACCUCCAUCGGUGAAUUCACCUCAGUUUUUUUUAAUAGGUCAGUUUGCCUUCUUUGACUUGUAUUUUUGGUGAUGCCAUCCCCCACUUCUUUAUAAAAUGCCAUCCCACCUAGCCCAUUUCUCUUCAAACUAGGUCUCACUUCUCCUGUUUUCUCUUGUUUCUCUUGUGUCUGUAUGGUUUUGGGAGAGGCUGUGAGCAAUAUCAUCAACAAUGGAGGUGUUCUUCCUCUCCCUGCUCCUCAUCUUUGUGCUCUCAGUCUCCAUCGGACUUCACUUGCUCUUCUACAAGCAUAGAUCCCACUUCACUGGCCCCAAUCUCCCUCCUGGCAAGAUUGGUUGGCCUAUGGUUGGUGAAAGCCUUGAAUUCCUCUCCACCGGCUGGAAAGGCCACCCGGAAAAAUUCAUCUUCGAUCGCAUCUCCAAAUACUCCUCUGAAGUCUUCAAGACCUCCCUCCUCGGAGAGCCUGCUGCCGUCUUUGCUGGCGCUGCGGGCAACAAGUUUUUGUUCUCCAACGAAAACAAACUUGUUCAUGCGUGGUGGCCUAGCUCUGUCGACAAGGUCUUCCCCUCCUCCACCCAAACCUCAUCCAAAGAGGAGGCCAAGAAGAUGAGGAAGUUGCUCCCUCAGUUCUUUAAGCCUGAAGCCUUGCAACGUUACAUUGGCAUCAUGGAUCACAUUGCGCAGAGGCAUUUUGCUGAUAGCUGGGACAACAGAGAUGAAGUCAUUGUAU